ensembl:snRNA U6 U6 spliceosomal RNA
AUGCUCGCUUCAAUAACACAUACACUAAAAUUGGAAUGACACAGAGAAGAUUAUGCAUGACCCCGUGCAAGGAUGACACACAAAUUCAUAAAGCAUUCCAUAUUUUU